rnacentral:rRNA from 1 species
GAUGAACGCUGGCGGCGUGCCUAAUACAUGCAAGUAGAACGCUGAAGGAGGAGCUUGCUCUUCUGGAUGAGUUGCGAACGGGUGAGUAACGCGUAGGUAACCUGCCUGGUAGCGGGGGAUAACUAUUGGAAACGAUAGCUAAUACCGCAUGACAACAGUUAUUGCAUGAUAACUGUUUAAAAGGGGCAACUGCUCCACUACCAGAUGGACCUGCGUUGUAUUAGCUAGUUGGUGAGGUAACGGCUCACCAAGGCGACGAUACAUAGCCGACCUGAGAGGGGGAUCGGCCACACUGGGACUGAGACACGGCCCAGACUCCUACGGGAGGCAGCAGUAGGGAAUCUUCGGCAAUGGACGGAAGUCUGACCGAGCAACGCCGCGUGAGGGAAGAAGGGUCUCGGAUCGUAAAGCUCUGUUGUAAGAGAAGAACGAGUGUGAGAGUGGAAAGUUCACACUGUGACGGUAUCUUACCAGAAAGGGACGGCUAACUACGUG